rnacentral:rRNA from 1 species
AUUGAACGCUGGCGGCAUGCCUUACACAUGCAAGUCGAACGGCAGCACGGGUGCUUGCACCUGGUGGCGAGUGGCGAACGGGUGAGUAAUACAUCGGAACGUACCUUAUCGUGGGGGAUAACGCAGCGAAAGCUGUGCUAAUACCGCAUACGCCCUGAGGGGGAAAGCGGGGGAUCGCAAGACCUCGCGCGAUUAGAGCGGCCGAUGCCUGAUUAGCUUGUUGGUGGGGUAAAAGCCCACCAAGGCGACGAUCAGUAGCUGGUCUGAGAGGACGAUCGUGCACACUGGGACUGAGACACGGCCCAGACUCCCACGGGAGGCAGCAGUGGGGAAUUUUGGACAAUGGGGGCAACCCUGAUCCAGCAAUGCCGCGUGAGUGAAGAAGGCCUUCGGGUUGUAAAGCUCUUUUGUCAGGGAAGAAACACCGGCUCUAACACAGUCCGGGAAUGACGGUACCUGAAGAAUAAGCACCGGCUAACUACGUGCCAGCAGCCGCCGUAA